rnacentral:rRNA from 1 species
UACGUAGGGUGCGAGCGUUGUCCGGAAUUAUUGGGCGUAAAGAGCUCGUAGGCGGUUUGUCACGUCUGCUGUGAAAUCCCGAGGCUCAACCUCGGGCCUGCAGUGGGUACGGGCAGACUAGAGUGCGGUAGGGGAGAUUGGAAUUCCUGGUGUAGCGGUGGAAUGCGCAGAUAUCAGGAGGAACACCGAUGGCGAAGGCAGAUCUCUGGGCCGUAACUGACGCUGAGGAGCGAAAGCGUGGGGAGCGAACAGG